GGAGCAAGACGUAAACGUUUCAACGGUUUACGUGAAUUACGUGUCACUAUGGAUACGGGGCUCUGCGUGGAGUUCUUCUGUGUAAAGUGUUUUUAUAUGUAGAAAGUAUUCAGAGUGAAGCAAUGGAAGAUAUUCAGAACAGGGAGAAGGAGGGGGAGCCUCACUGGGUGGCUCAGCUGUAGAGAACAGCCUUGCCCCUGGGACGCGACCCCCUCUCCUGCUGUCUGAGAAGCAGGCUGUCCAGAGAACGGAGCGUGUGCAGGAGAUCUGUCGGGGGGCACUGAGAGGGCUGCAGGAGGGGGAGAGACAGGACAGGAAGGACCGCCUAGCGUAGAGGAUGGUUUGGGAACCUCAGAGAGGAACCAAUGUGGAGGUGUCCUCCAAUAUCACCACUGCUAGCACUACCUGUCCUGCCUUACAGAACAGCACGGAGCAUGCCUCAAAAGAGGAGCACACCAGAGGAGUGACAGAGCCAUGCAUCUGGAGUGCGCAGGAGCUGUCCGCCAGGAAGAUUCAGAGCGCCGACGGCUGGAAACCCGCCAGGCUGAGGCGCUGGAAGAGAUUGAAAUGCAGUGUGGCGAGCAAGGGUCGCUGGAGCAGGCUCUGGGGUCCAGGGAGAGGGAUCUGGCCAGCUCCAGGCAGCAGAACGAAAGCAGGGCCCUUCAUCUACAGACGAUACAGGGGGAAGCUGGCAGGAGAGACGCCAGACUGGAGGCCCAGAUGCGGGUGAGGGCAACCGACUACUGAGACCUGGCCCAGGAGCUUCAGAAAGCCAGGUCGGAAAUCCAGGAGCUCACCCUGCACAACAGGGAGCUGGCCACAGAGCUGUGGAGGUUGAGACAGGAGUAGGAGGCAGAGAGACUGAGGUAGGAGGAGCUGGCACAGGUGCAGUGCGAGGUGGCUGUCAGAGGGACUUGGAGGCUGCCCGAAGCGAGCUUGCUGUGGAGAAACAGAGGCACGGCCGGAGCCCGAGUGCCUUGGGAGUUGCUCAGGAGGCACUUUGCUAGCUUACCUGCCCAGGAGAUGCAGGACACCUUCACUGCUAAGUUUGCGCAGAACUGAUCCGGAAAUAAAUAUUUACUGUAAAGGGGAUAACAACAAACUAGACAAUCAUAAGCACCAUCGCUUUGCACAUGUGGUGGAAUCUACACUGUCAAGUGACUGAACUUUCUUGCAAGUCUUCAUCACGUUGAUGAUACUCACAGGACCGAGAAAUCAUAGCCCGCUCUAUAUACACAGGCACACGCUGAAUGUAAUGGGAUAUUAUAGUGUAGAAGCAAAGGGGAUUAUCUGGAAAAUAUCAAAUUAGGUAAAACCAUGUGCCUGUUUUGUUUGUUUCUCUGAACCUGACACUCUUCUGUAAAGGCUGCAAAAUGGCAGAGUCUUCACAUAUGAUUAGUUGGGGCUUUUGGAUUAAGGGCUUUCUGAAAUUAUAACAGGUUUUCACAAUGGAUUUUCCAAGCGCUGCUGUCUUGCUACAUUGUUUCAGUCUUUAAUAAAAUUGAUAUUUUUAUU